AGUGAACGCUGGCGGUAGGCCUAACACAUGCAAGUCGAACGGCAGCACAGGAGAGCUUGCUCUCUGGGUGGCGAGUGGCAGACGGGUGAGGAAUACAUCGGAAUCUGCCCAGUCGUGGGGGAUAACGUAGGGAAACUUACGCUAAUACCGCAUACGACCUUCGGGUGAAAGAGGGGGAUCGCAAGACCUCUCGCGAUUGGAUGAGCCGAUGUCGGAUUAGCUAGUUGGCGGGGUAAUGGCCCACCAAGGCGACGAUCCGUAGCUGGUCUGAGAGGAUGAUCAGCCACACUGGAACUGAGACACGGUCCAGACUCCUACGGGAGGCAGCAGUGGGGAAUAUUGGACAAUGGGCGCAAGCCUGAUCCAGCCAUACCGCGUGGGUGAAGAAGGCCUUCGGGUUGUAAAGCCCUUUUGUUGGGAAAGAAAUCUUUCAGGCUAAUACCCUGGGAGGAUGACGGUACCCAAAGAAUAAGCACCGGCUAACUUCGUG
rnacentral:rRNA from 1 species